GCCGAGCGCCGCCAUCUCGCACGCCCAGCGCUUCCGCUUCCGCCGCCGUCUCUGCGCACUUCCGGCCGAGGCGGAGCGGCAACGGGGGCGCUCCCUGGCGGGCGGGCGGGAUGGCGGCGCCGGCGGCUGCAGCGGCCGCCCGGGCCCGGCUUUACCGUGAACGGGCCCGGGGGGGCCGGAGCCGGCAGUGGUCAGGGCGAGGGGGGCCCGGCUGCAGGCCCCAACCGGGCCCGGGGCCAAACCAGGCCGGGGGCGAAGACGAGGCCUGCGCCCCACCGCCGAGGCCUCCCCCGCCAUUAACCCCCCCAAUUAACCUCCGCCAUUAACCCCCCCCGUUAACCCCCUCAAUUAAAUUAACCCCCUCCCUGACGCCGCCGGCUGGAGCCAAGCAGGGUUUCGGGGCCUGUUCCCACGGCCCCCCGUCGUCCCCCCGGUUUGGAGCCGUGGGGUUUGGGGUGAGGCGGCCUUGUGCGUGUGCGGUUCGGGCUUUAGGGGCCUCGUUUUGCCGUGCCGAGGAGAAGCGGGUGAAAAGCAGCGACUGCCCGUUUUAUGUGCGGAGACAGAUUUAAAGCCUCGGCGCUGCAUCCUGGAGCCGGCUGGGAAGCCAGCAGAAUCAAGUGGAUGAUGCAAACUUUCUAUUCCAAACAGGGAAGCAGCACAGGAGCCAGAUAAACUCCGCCAUGCGUCACUUUACCUGGAAGCACUGGCCAGAGAUCCUUGGCAGAGGGUCAAGUGGGAUAAGAAACCAAAAAGUUGCGUGUGCUUCUGUCUGUGCCAGUCGUCCCCUUCGGACCCCCCGGAAAUCAGGUUACCCACGACAGGUUUUCUUCAGAGAGAAAGUUGCAGCUCUCACAAAAAAGGAACCAAAGUGAUAAAACUUUUGCUUCCAGUUCAGAGCAAAGAAAGUAAAAAUUUCCAUAACAUUGUUGGAAUUGCCAGGACCUUCUAGCAAAAUCAAAUGUAGAUGUAUUGUAAGGGUUUAUCAAUAAUAUUUACAUGCUCACGCAA